UAGUCGGAACCUAAGCCGAGGCCGAAAGGCGUAGGUGAUGGACAACCGGUCAACAUUCCGGUACUACCAGAUUAUCGCUUUAAGUGAUGGGGGGACGCAGGAAGGUAGGUCAGCACGAUAAAAGUUACGUGUCCAAGCCUGAUAUGGGAGAAGAUAGGAAAAUCCGUCUUCUAUUAAAACCCUAAGAGGUGAUAGGGAGCUGCUAUUGCAGCGAACUGAUCGAUCCUACACUGCCAAGAAAAGCCUCUAAACAAGAUAACCUGGUAUCCGUACUAAAACCGACACAGGUAGGUAGGUAGAGAAUACCAAGGCGCUCGAGAUAACCCUCGUUAAGGAACUCGGCAAAAUGACUCCGUAACUUCGGGAGAAGGAGUGCCCCGGUAGGGUGACCCAAUUUACUUGGUUAGCCCGAAGGGGUUGCAAAGAAACGGCCCAAGCGACUGUUUACUAAAAACACAGGUCUCUGCUAAAUCGAAAGAUGAUGUAUAGGGACUGACGCCUGCCCGGUGCUGGAAGGUUAAGGAAGGAGGUUACCUCUCAUCAUUGAGAGGGAAGCUUCUGACCGAAGCCCCAGUAAACGGCGGCCGUAACUAUAACGGUCCUAAGGUAGCGAAAUUCCUUGUCGGGUAAGUUCCGACCUGCACGAAUGGCGUAACGAUUUGGGCACUGUCUCAACGAGGGACUCGGUGAAAUUGUAGUGUAAGUGAAGAUGCUUACUACCCGCGACAGGACGGAAAGACCCCGUGAACCUUUACUGUAGCCUGAUAUUGAAUUUUAGCAUAUCCUGUGUAGGAUAGGUGGUAGGCUGUGAA
rnacentral:rRNA from 1 species